UACGGAGGGGGCUAGCGUUGUUCGGAAUUACUGGGCGUAAAGCGCGCGUAGGCGGCCGAUCGAGUCGGGCGUGAAAGCCCGGGGCUCAACCCCGGAACUGCGCCCGAAACUGUUUGGCUGGAGUCCGGGAGAGGGUGGUGGAAUUCCCAGUGUAGAGGUGAAAUUCGUAGAUAUUGGGAAGAACACCGGUGGCGAAGGCGGCCACCUGGCCCGGGACUGACGCUGAGGCUCGAAAGCGUGGGGAGCGAACAGG
rnacentral:misc_RNA from 1 species